GUGAGGAAUAUUGCGCAAUGGGGGCAACCCUGACGCAGCGAUGCCGCGUGGGUGAAGAAGGCCUUCGGGUCGUAAAGCCCUGUCAGGCGGGAAGAAUGGCUCCCGGGUUAACAGCCGGGGAGUUUGACGGUACCGCCGAAGGAAGCACCGGCUAACUCCGUGCCAGCAGCCGCGGUAAGACGGAGGGUGCAAGCGUUAUUCGGAAUUAUUGGGCGUAAAGGGCGUGCAGGCGGCGGAUCAAGUCAGAGGUGAAAGCCCAGGGCUCAACCCUGGAAGUGCCUCUGAUACUGGUUCGCUUGAGUUCGGGAGAGGGAAGCGGAAUUCCGGGUGUAGAGGUGAAAUUCGUAGAUAUCCGGAGGAACACCGGUGGCGAAGGCGGCUUCCUGGACCGAAACUGACGCUGAGACGCGAAAGCGUGGGGAGCAAACAGGAUUAGAAACCCUGGUAGUCC
rnacentral:rRNA from 1 species